rnacentral:rRNA from 1 species
UACGUAGGGGGCAAGCGUUGUCCGGAAUCAUUGGGCGUAAAGCGCGCGUAGGCGGCCCGGUAAGUCCGUUGUGAAAGUCAAAGGCUCAACCUUUGAACGCCGAUGGAUACUGCCGGGCUAGAGUCCGGAAGAGGCGAGUGGAAUUCCUGGUGUAGCGGUGGAAUGCGCAGAUAUCAGGAGGAACACCGGUGGCGAAGGCGGUCUCUGGGCCGAUGACUGACGCUGAGGAGCGAAAGCGUGGGAGCGAACAGG